AUUGAACGCCGGCGGCAUGCCUUACACAUGCAAGUCGAACGGCAGCACGGGUGCUUGCACCUGGUGGCGAGUGGCGAACGGGUGAGUAAUACAUCGGAACGUACCUUAUCGUGGGGGAUAACGCAGCGAAAGCUGUGCUAAUACCGCAUACGCCCUGAGGGGGAAAGCGGGGGAUCGCAAGACCUCGCGCGAUUAGAGCGGCCGAUGCCUGAUUAGCUAGUUGGUGGGGUAAAAGCCCACCAAGGCGACGAUCAGUAGCUGGUCUGAGAGGACGAUCAGCCACACUGGGACGAAGACACGGCCCAGACUCCGACGGGAGGCAGCAGUGGGGAAUUUUGGACAAUGGGGGCAACCCUGAUCCAGCAAUGCCGCGUGAGUGAAGAAGGCCUUCGGGUUGUAAAGCUCUUUUGUCAGGGAAGAAACACCGGCUCUAACACAGUCCGGGAAUGACGGUACCUGAAGAAUAAGCACCGGCUAACUACGUGCCAGCCGCCGCCGUAA
rnacentral:rRNA from 1 species